CAGCAGCCACGGUAACACGGAGGGUGCAAGCGUUAAUCGGAAUUACUGGGCGUAAAGCGCACGCAGGCGGUCUGACAAGUCAGAUGUGAAAUCCCCGGGCUUAACCUGGGAACUGCAUUUGAAACUGUCAGGCUGGAGUCUUGUAGAGGGGGGUAGAAUUCCAGGUGUAGCGGUGAAAUGCGUAGAGAUCCGGAGGAAUACCGGUGGCGAAGGCGGCCCCCUGGACAAAGACUGACGCUCAGGUGCGAAAGCGUGGGGAGCAAACAGGAUUAGAUACCCCUGUAGUCCCUGUCUCUUAUAC
rnacentral:rRNA from 1 species